GCGUGGAGACAGGUGGUGCAUGGCUGUCGUCAGCUCGUGUCGUGAGAUGUUGGGUUAAGUCCCGCAACGAGCGCAACCCUCACCCCUUGUUGCCAUCAGGUCAUGCUGGGCACUCUAGGGGAACUGCCCCGGUCAACGGGGAGGAAGGCGGGGAUGACGUCAAGUCAUCAUGCCCCUUACGUCCUGGGCUACACACGUGCUACAAUGGCCGGUACAAAGGGAUGCAACGCCGCGAGGCAGAGCCAAACCCAAAAAGCCGGUCUAAGUUCAGAUUGGAGUCUGCAACUCGACUCCAUGAAGGAGGAAUCGCUAGUAAUCGCGUAUCAGCACGACGCGGUGAAUACGUUCCCGGGCCUUGUACACACCGCCCGUCACACCACGAAAGCCAGCUGUACUCGAAGUCGCUGAG
rnacentral:rRNA from 1 species